rnacentral:pre_miRNA from 1 species
AGUGGAAUUUCUGGGUCAUAUGGUAACUCUAUGUUUAACUUUUUGAGGAACUGCUAGACUGUUUUCUAAAGUGACUGUACCAUUUUACAUUUCCACAAGGAAC